CUUAAAUUGGGUCAAGAAGGGAAGUAUCGCGUCUACCACAAUCAAUACUCCACUAAUUCAUUUGCUUUGAAUAAGCACCAGCACAGAGAAGACCAUGAUAAGAGAAGGCAUCUUGCACAUAAGUUCUGUCUGACUCCAGCAGGAGAGUUCAAAUGGAACGGUUCUGUCCAUGGGUCCAAAGUUCUUACCAUAUCUACUCUGAGACUGACUAUCACCCAAUUAGAAAACAACAUCCCUUCAUCCUUUCUUCAUCCCAACCGGGCAUCACAUAGGGCAAACUGGAUCAAGGCAGUUCAGAUGUGUAGCAAACUCAGAGAAUUUGCAUUGGCUUUAGCCAUUUUGGAGUGUGCAGUUAAACCAGUUGUGAUGCUACCAAUAUGGCGAGAAUCUUUAGGACAUACCAGCUUUCUCCCUUUGUCUCAUAACCAUGUCCACCAAUGAGAAUGCUAAUACACAAGCUGCCCAUCUUCACAGAUCUAAGAACAAGGGAAAGGACAGUACAGU
rnacentral:lncRNA from 1 species